AGAGUUUGAUCCUGGCUCAGGAUGAACGCUGGCGGCGUGCUUAACACAUGCAAGUCGAACGGAAAGGCCUUGUGCUUGCACAAGGUACUCGAGUGGCGAACGGGUGAGUAACACGUGGGUGAUCUGCCCUGCACUGUGGGAUAAGCCUGGGAAACUGGGUCUAAUACCAUAUAGGACCGCAUCUUGGAUGGUGUGGUGGAAAGCUUUUGCGGUGUGGGAUGAGCCUGCGGCCUAUCAGCUUGUUGGUGGGGUAAUGGCCUACCAAGGCGGCGACGGGUAUCCGGCCUGAGAGGGUGUACGGACACAUUGGGACUGAAAUACGGCCCAGACUCCUACGGGAGGCAGCAGUGGGGAAUAUUGCACAAUGGGCGCAAGCCUGAUGCAGCGACGCCGCGUGGGGGAUGAAGGCCUUCGGGUUGUAAACUCCUUUCGCUAUCGACGAAGCCACUGUGUGGUGACGGUAGGUAGAUAAGAAGCACCGGCUAACUACGUGCCAGCAGCCGCGGUAAUACGUAGGGUGCAAGCGUUGUCCGGAAUUACUGGGCGUAAAGAGCUCGUAGGUGGUUUGUCGCGUCGUCUGUGAAAUCCCGGGGCUUAACUUCGGGCGUGCAGGCGAUACGGGCAUAACUUGAGUGCUGUAGGGGAGACUGGAAUUCCUGGUGUAGCGGUGAAAUGCGCAGAUAUCAGGAGGAACACCGAUGGCGAAGGCAGGUCUCUGGGCAGUUACUGACGCUGAGGAGCGAAAGCAUGGGUAGCGAACAGGAUUAGAUACCCUGGUAGUCCAUGCCGUAAACGGUGGGCGCUAGGUGUAGGGGGCUUCCACGUCUUCUGUGCCGUAGCUAACGCAUUAAGCGCCCCGCCUGGGGAGUACGGCCGCAAGGCUAAAACUCAAAGGAAUUGACGGGGGCCCGCACAAGCGGCGGAGCAUGUGGAUUAAUUCGAUGCAACGCGAAGAACCUUACCUGGGCUUGACAUAUACAGGAUCGGGCUAGAGAUAGUCUUUCCCUUGUGGUCUGUAUACAGGUGGUGCAUGGUUGUCGUCAGCUCGUGUCGUGAGAUGUUGGGUUAAGUCCCGCAACGAGCGCAACCCUUGUCUUAUGUUGCCAGCACGCUAUGGUGGGAACUCAUGAGAGACUGCCGGGGUUAACUCGGAGGAAGGAGGGGAUGACGUCAAAUCAUCAUGCCCCUUAUGUCCAGGGCUUCACACAUGC
rnacentral:rRNA from 1 species